rnacentral:rRNA from 1 species
UGUGUGUUAGUGGAAGCGUCUGGAAAGGCGCGCGAUACAGGGUGACAGCCCCGUACACAAAAAUGCACAUGCUGUGAGCUCGAUGAGUAGGGCGGGACACGUGGUAUCCUGUCUGAAUAUGGGGGGACCAUCCUCCAAGGCUAAAUACUCCUGACUGACCGAUAGUGAACCAGUACCGUGAGGGAAAGGCGAAAAGAACCCCGGCGAGGGGAGUGAAAAAGAACCUGAAACCGUGUACGUACAAGCAGUGGGAGCCUCUUUAUGGGGUGACUGCGUACCUUUUGUAUAAUGGGUCAGCGACUUAUAUUCUGUAGCAAGGUUAACCGAAUAGGGGAGCCGAAGGGAAACCGAGUCUUAACUGGGCGUUAAGUUGCAGGGUAUAGACCCGAAACCCGGUGAUCUAGCCAUGGGCAGGUUGAAGGUUGGGUAACACUAACUGGAGGACCGAACCGACUAAUGUUGAAAAAUUAGCGGAUGACUUGUGGCUGGGGGUGAAAGGCCAAUCAAACCGGGAGAUAGCUGGUUCUCCCCGAAAGCUAUUUAGGUAGCGCCUCGUGAACUCAUCUCCGGGGGUAGAGCACUGUUUCGGCAAGGGGGUCAUCCCGACUUACCAACCCGAUGCAAACUGCGAAUACCGGAGAAUGUUAUCACGGGAGACACACGGCGGGUGCUAACGUCCGUCGUGAAGAGGGAAACAACCCAGACCGCCAGCUAAGGUCCCAAAGUCAUGGUUAAGUGGGAAACGAUGUGGGAAGGCCCAGACAGCCAGGAUGUUGGCUUAGAAGCAGCCAUCAUUUAAAGAAAGCGUAAUAGCUCACUGGUCGAGUCGGCCUGCGCGGAAGAUGUAACGGGGCUAAACCAUGCACCGAAGCUGCGGCAGCGACGCUUAUGCGUUGUUGGGUAGGGGAGCGUUCUGUAAGCCUGCGAAGGUGUACUGUGAGGUAUGCUGGAGGUAUCAGAAGUGCGAAUGCUGACAUAAGUAACGAUAAAGCGGGUGAAAAGCCCGCUCGCCGGAAGACCAAGGGUUCCUGUCCAACGUUAAUCGGGGCAGGGUGAGUCGACCCCUAAGGCGAGGCCGAAAGGCGUAGUCGAUGGGAAACAGGUUAAUAUUCCUGUACUUGGUGUUACUGCGAAGGGGGGACGGAGAAGGCUAUGUUGGCCGGGC